GAGAACGCUGGCGGCGUGCCUAAUACAUGCAAGUCGAACGAGUUCUCGUUGAUGAUCGGUGCUUGCACCGAGAUUCAACAUGGAACGAGUGGCGGACGGGUGAGUAACACGUGGGUAACCUGCCCUUAAGUGGGGGAUAACAUUUGGAAACAGAUGCUAAUACCGCAUAGAUCCAAGAACCGCAUGGUUCUUGGCUGAAAGAUGGCGUAAGCUAUCGCUUUUGGAUGGACCCGCGGCGUAUUAGCUAGUUGGUGAGGUAAUGGCUCACCAAGGCGAUGAUACGUAGCCGAACUGAGAGGUUGAUCGGCCACAUUGGGACUGAGACACGGCCCAAACUCCUACGGGAGGCAGCAGUAGGGAAUCUUCCACAAUGGACGCAAGUCUGAUGGAGCAACGCCGCGUGAGUGAAGAAGGCUUUCGGGUCGUAAAACUCUGUUGUUGGAGAAGAAUGGUCGGCAGAGUAACUGUUGUCGGCGUGACGGUAUCCAACCAGAAAGCCACGGCUAACUACGUGCCAGCAGCCGCGGUAAUACGUAGGUGGCAAGCGUUAUCCGGAUUUAUUGGGCGUAAAGCGAGCGCAGGCGGUUUUUUAAGUCUGAUGUGAAAGCCCUCGGCUUAACCGAGGAAGCGCAUCGGAAACUGGGAAACUUGAGUGCAGAAGAGGACAGUGGAACUCCAUGUGUAGCGGUGAAAUGCGUAGAUAUAUGGAAGAACACCAGUGGCGAAGGCGGCUGUCUGGUCUGUAACUGACGCUGAGGCUCGAAAGCAUGGGUAGCGAACAGGAUUAGAUACCCUGGUAGUCCAUGCCGUAAACGAUGAAUGCUAGGUGUUGGAGGGUUUCCGCCCUUCAGUGCCGCAGCUAACGCAUUAAGCAUUCCGCCUGGGGAGUACGACCGCAAGGUUGAAACUCAAAGGAAUUGACGGGGGCCCGCACAAGCGGUGGAGCAUGUGGUUUAAUUCGAAGCAACGCGAAGAACCUUACCAGGUCUUGACAUCUUUUGAUCACCUGAGAGAUCAGGUUUCCCCUUCGGGGGCAAAAUGACAGGUGGUGCAUGGUUGUCGUCAGCUCGUGUCGUGAGAUGUUGGGUUAAGUCCCGCAACGAGCGCAACCCUUAUGACUAGUUGCCAGCAUUUAGUUGGGCACUCUAGUAAGACUGCCGGUGACAAACCGGAGGAAGGUGGGGAUGACGUCAAAUCAUCAUGCCCCUUAUGACCUGGGCUACACACGUGCUACAAUGGAUGGUACAACGAGUUGCGAGACCGCGAGGUCAAGCUAAUCUCUUAAAGCCAUUCUCAGUUCGGACUGUAGGCUGCAACUCGCCUACACGAAGUCGGAAUCGCUAGUAAUCGCGGAUCAGCACGCCGCGGUGAAUACGUUCCCGGGCCUUGUACACACCGCCCGUCACACCAUGAGAGUUUGUAACACCCGAAGCCGGUGGCGUAACCCUUUUAGGGAGCGAGCCGUCUAAGGUGGGACAAAUGAUUAGGGUGAAGUCGAA
rnacentral:rRNA from 2 species